AUGAAGAUACCUCUUAAGAAUAAAAUCUUUGCAUGGUAUGUUCGUCAUGGGGUCAUUCUUACUAAAAAUAAUCUUAUUAAAAGGAAUUGGCAUGGAAGUAUGCAAUGUGUUUUCUGUCAGCAUGAUGAGACAAUGAAACAUUUGUUCUUCCAAUGCAAAUUGGCUCAUAUUAUAUGGUCAGUCAUUCAAAUAGCUUCUGACUUAUAUCCUCCUUAUAGUGUUGCUAAUAUAUUUUGGCAACUGGUUACAUGA
rnacentral:rRNA from 1 species